CUACGGGUUGCACCAGUGAGGAAUAUUGCACAAUGGGGGGAGCCCUGAUGCAGCAACGCCGCGUGGAGGAUGACGCAUUUCGGUGUGUAAACUCCUUUUAUAUGUCAAGAAAAUGACGGUAGCAUAUGAAUAAGCACCGGCUAACUCCGUGCCAGCAGCGCGCGGUAAUACGGAGGGUGCAAGCGUUACUCGGAAUCACUGGGCGUAAAGGACGCGUAGGCGGGUUGGAAAGUCAGGUGUGAAAUCCUACAGCUUAACUGUAGAACUGCACUUGAAACUUCUAAUCUAGAGUAUGGGAGGGGGAGAUGGAAUUAGUGGUGUAGGGGUAAAAUCCGUAGAUAUCACUAGGAAUACCUAAAGCGAAGGCGAUCUCCUGGAACAUUACUGACGCUAAGGCGUGAAAGCGUGGGGAGCAAACAGGAUUAGAUACCCGUGUAGUC
rnacentral:rRNA from 1 species